GAUAUCUGCACUGCAAAUAAUUCUGGAACUGUGACCAACUGUAUGCUUCAAAGUUGAAACUAGGGAAAGCGAAGACACGGUCGUUCAUUCUGGGGCCGCAGCUACAGAUGUUUUCGCCGUGCGCACGUGUGCAUGAACUUGUUCCCUUGGAGUUACAUCACGCAUUCAUGCUGGUGCAGCUGUUGAUUGACUCUGUGUUUUGUGGAGUAGAAACAUUGAUGGUUUGAUUGAUGUGGUCGCGCGGACAUUGCACAUGCCUCAAUGAAGCGCAGUUUGUGACAUGCUGUUCAUCAAGCAACGUGUGGGCACGCGGGUGUUUCAAAUUCUCUGAACCACAAAUCUUCACUGUGAGUACAUUGCAUUCUGAAAUGAUUUGAUGCCGGCACUGGAGGAGACUCCAGUCCAGCUGUACCCUCUGCGUGCAUGCUUGGCUUGUACUGCUACAUGUCUUACACAGGGCAUAAACAUCUUUGGAUGAUUACCAUCACAUAAAGAAAUUAAUAAUUCUUUGAUGGGAAUCCACCUAUUCAACCAUGCAGAGGUCACUCGCAAGCAAGGAGUGACAAAAUGAUGGCGUGGUUAUUCUUGGGAGCAGCAUUAGAGGUAAUUAGGGCAUAAAGCACUACUACUAAACAUCACAUGAUCACCACCAUUUGGAAAAAGGAUGGGCAUGGGUCCUACUCUAAUGAUCCUUUUUAGACCAACACAGCAGGUGUUUGUGUCUCUAGUGGUGCUAGGAGAUGAUAGCCUGGUUUAAGAUACUGCCUAGUGAUCUUGAGACAUGUGCUGCUACUAAUGCUUCAUUAAAGGGUGAAUACGGCCUGCAAUUGCUGCAAACACACACCCAAACAACAUACUCAAUUUUUUAGUUUUGCAGUGAUCUAUCUAGAGAAGACUACCAAAGCUAGGGGAUGAUGCACUGCAACCUACUGGCAAAUAUUUUAUACGCUUGGAGCAUAUCUUUCAGUGAUCACAAGAAGCUACGGACUCUAUCCUGUUCAUCUGCUGGCCCAUUGGAGGCAGGGGUUGCUACAAAUGGAAUCAACGGGCCGAUAAAGAAGUAGGCAAGAGAGUUUUUCCUCAUCCAUUAUCUUUUGCCCAUUGGUAGGUGCACAUGUAAAUCAGCUCGUCAUAUUUAUACACGGCCAUAUAUGAUGCUGCACCGGACAUGUCCUUCCUCGACCCUGAAGAUCAAAUUAACCAUGCAUACAUAGAUACCUCCAGCAGCAGGGAAGUACACUAGUGCCUAGCUGGAGAUGGAAAUGAUCGGUUUAAGUUGAAUUGAAUCAGCAGUCGUCGCAUUCCACCGUGUGCAUAUAUAGAUGCAUCAUGAGGCAUUUGCACACUGUCUAAGAGCAAGUUCAAUAGUACCAGUUGCUGGCUACAAAUGAUCUAUAGCUAACUUAAUAGCCAAUGCAUACAAUAGUCAUAGACUACACAAUUAAUAUCCGACCCCACCUGUCAUACACACAUUGUGUCUUGGAGCCCGUGCUACAGCUGACUAUAAA